rnacentral:rRNA from 1 species
CAUGCAAGUCGAGCGGAGAUGAGGUGCUUGCACCUUAUCUUAGCGGCGGACGGGUGAGUAAUGCUUAGGAAUCUGCCAUUUAGUGGGGGACAACAUUUCGAAAGGGAUGCUAAUACCGCAUACGUCCUACGGGAGAAAGCAGGGGAUCUUCGGACCUUGCGCUAAAUGAUGAGCCUAAGUCGGAUUAGCUAGUUGGUGGGGUAAAGGCCUACCAAGGCGACGAUCUGUAGCGGGUCUGAGAGGAUGAUCCGCCACACUGGGACUGAGACACGGCCCAGACUCCUACGGGAGGCAGCAGUGGGGAAUAUUGGACAAUGGGCGGAAGCCUGAUCCAGCCAUGCCGCGUGUGUGAAGAAGGCCUUUUGGUUGUAAAGCACUUUAAGCGAGGAGGAGGCUACUUAGAUUAAUACUCUAGGAUAGUGGACGUUACUCGCAGAAUAAGCACCGGCUAA